rnacentral:rRNA from 1 species
AACGAACGCUGGCGGCAUGCCUAACACAUGCAAGUCGAACGAUCCCUUCGGGGAUAGUGGCGCACGGGUGCGUAACGCGUGGGAACCUGCCCUUAGGUUCGGAAUAACUCAGAGAAAUUUGAGCUAAUACCGGAUAAUGUCUUCGGACCAAAGAUUUAUCGCCUUUGGAUGGGCCCGCGUUGGAUUAGCUAGUUGGUGGGGUAAAGGCCUACCAAGGCGACGAUCCAUAGCUGGUCUGAGAGGAUGAUCAGCCACACUGGGACUGAGACACGGCCCAGACUCCUACGGGAGGCAGCAGUGGGGAAUAUUGGACAAUGGGCGAAAGCCUGAUCCAGCAAUGCCGCGUGAGUGAUGAAGGCCUUAGGGUUGUAAAGCUCUUCUACCCGGGAUGAUAAUGACAGUACCGGGAGAAUAAGCCCCGGCUAACUCCGUG